CGACGGGAGCUCGGCGGGGACAGAAGAGCGCGGGGCGGCGGCGCGCCUUCGCGGCCUGGCAGCGGUCCCCGGUCCCCGCCCCUGCGGCCCCGGCCGGCCGGUUGAGCGGAGCCCGGCCCCGGAGAGCCGGGCAGGCCCUGCCGGGGCCCCCGCUCCCUGAGCGUCAGCCAGCCUAGCAGAAGGCAGGGCCCGAGGUGAGGGUAGGCGGAGAGGGCAGCUCCAGGAGUGCUUCGGGAGCCCCUCCUUGCCUCCCCAGCCUUUCGCCCCGUCCGCCGGCACCUGCGUGGAGAAGAUCUGCCAUUGCCAAGUGGAUCUUCCUCAGGCUGAGCGGUGGGAGCCGGUCGCUCGCAGGGGCAGCGGCAGCGCUGCCGGCCCACAUGCCUGUGCCUCGGGAGCGGGGGAGAGAGGCCUUUUCACCGGCAGCCCCCGAGGAGGGAGAGGGCGGAGGGGAGAGCGGCGCUCCCCGCCAUGACAGGGGACAGCCAGGACCCAGCGGAGGCGAGGGGAAGGCCUGAAUGUCCCACACACGGGCAUUUCCCAGAUGACCUCGGGAUGCCCAUCCGCUGUUUCGGCAAAGGCCAGCCUUGCUGUGAACCAGCCCUUUGGCACUCACCUUCCAUCAAGGAGUGACGACCAAAAUCCACAGUCGCUGAGGGACCUCUUGGAGCCCACCCAGAAACA